UGUUAAAAAUUUCAUCUAUUUUUACAGUUAAAAAUUGGUAUGGUUGAUGGAAUAACUAGAUAGAUACACGUGGCGUGCCACAUGAACCUCAUAUUGAUGUACAUGGAUCAAUUUUUAACAGCAAAAAUGGAUGAAAAUUUUAAGA
rfam:Gossypium hirsutum cultivar TM-1 chromosome 9, whole genome shotgun sequence